ACUAGCUCAGUUGGUAGAGCAUGAGACUCUUAAUCUCAGCGUAGUGGUUUCAUGUCCCACGU
rnacentral:tRNA from 1 species